GACGAACGCUGGCGGCGUGCCUAAUACAUGCAAGUAGAACGCUGAAGGAGGAGCUUGCUCUUCUGGAUGAGUUGCGAACGGGUGAGUAACGCGUAGGUAACCUGCCUGGUAGCGGGGGAUAACUAUUGGAAACGAUAGCUAAUACCGCAUAAUAGUAGAUGUUGCAUGAUAUUUACUUAAAAGGUGCAAUUGCACCACUACCAGAUGGACCUGCGUUGUAUUAGCUAGUUGGUGGGGUAACGGCUCACCAAGGCGACGAUACAUAGCCGACCUGAGAGGGUGAUCGGCCACACUGGGACUGAGACACGGCCCAGACCCCUACGGGAGGCAGCAGUAGGGAAUCUUCGGCAAUGGACGAAAGUCUGACCGAGCAACGCCGCGUGAGUGAAGAAGGUUUUCGGAUCGUAAAGCUCUGUUGUAAGAGAAGAACGAGUGUGAGAGUGGAAAGUUCACACUGUGACGGUAUCUUACCAGAAAGGGACGGCUAACUACGUG
rnacentral:rRNA from 1 species